rnacentral:rRNA from 1 species
UACGAAGGGGGCUAGCGUUGCUCGGAAUGACUGGGCGUAAAGGGCGCGUAGGCGGUGAUCCCAGUCAGGCGUGAAAUUCCUGGGCUUAACCUGGGGGCUGCGUUUGAUACGUGGUUGCUAGAGUGGGGAAGAGGGUCGUGGAAUUCCCAGUGUAGAGGUGAAAUUCGUAGAUAUUGGGAAGAACACCGGUGGCGAAGGCGGCGACCUGGUCCUUGACUGACGCUGAGGCGCGAAAGCGUGGGGAGCAAACAGG